AUAUUGCACAAUGGGCGAAAGCCUGAUGCAGCGACGCCGCGUGAGUGAAGAAGGUAAUCGGAUCGUAACACUCUGUCCUCGGGACAGAAAUAAAUGACGACACCAGCGGAGGAAGCCCCGGCAACCUACGUUCCAGCAGCCGCGGUAACACGUAGGGGGCUAGCGUUGUCCGGAUUUACUGGGCGUAAAGGGUGAGUAGGCGGUAACGUGUGUCAGAUGUUUAAUCUAUGGGCUCAACCCAUAUCAGCAUUUGAAACUACGUAACUUGGGUGCAGGAGAGGUAAGUGGAAUUCCUAGUGUAGCGGUGGAAUGCGUAGAUAUUAGGAGGAACACCAGUGGCGAAGGCGACUUACUGGACUGCAACUGACGCUGAGUCACGAAAGCGUGGGGAGCAAACAGG
rnacentral:rRNA from 1 species